GUCAGUGUGGUGUAGUGGUUUGAGCAUUGGACUAUGACUCUGGAGACCAGGGUUCGAAUCCGGGUUUAGCCA